AGCGCAGGCGGUUGGAAUAGUCUGAUGUGAAAGCCCACGGCUUAACCGUGGAAGGUCAUUGGAAACUGUCCAACUUGAAUGCAGAAGAGGUAAGUGGAAUUCCAUGUGUAGCGGUGAAAUGCGUAGAUAUAUGGAGGAACACCAGUGGCGAAGGCGACUUACUGGUCUGUGAUUGACGCUGAGGCUCGAAAGCGUGGGUAGCGAACA
rnacentral:rRNA from 1 species